GACGAACGCUGGCGGCGUGCCUAAUACAUGCAAGUCGAGCGCAGGAAGUCAUCCGAACCCUUCGGGGGGACGUUGACGGAAUGAGCGGCGGACGGGUGAGUAACACGUAAAGAACCUGCCCUCAGGUCUGGGAUAACCACGAGAAAUCGGGGCUAAUACCGGAUGGGUCAUCGGACCGCAUGGUCCGAGGAUUAAAGGCGCUCCGGCGUCGCCUGGGGAUGGCUUUGCGGUGCAUUAGCUAGUUGGUGGGGUAAUGGCCCACCAAGGCGACGAUGCAUAGCCGACCUGAGAGGGUGAUCGGCCACACUGGGACUGAGACACGGCCCAGACUCCUACGGGAGGCAGCAGUAGGGAAUCUUCCACAAUGGACGAAAGUCUGAUGGAGCAACGCCGCGUGAACGAUGAAGGCCCUCGGGUCGUAAAGUUCUGUUGUAAGGGAAGAACAAGUGCCGCAGGAAAUGGCGGCACCUUGACGGUACCUUGCGAGAAAGCCACGGCUAACUACGUG
rnacentral:rRNA from 1 species